AAACCGGCCUCGUGGACCAGAGGAUUAUGACCAAACUUGGAGUUGUCUUAAUUUCCAAGAACCUUCCCUUACACUGACUGCUCAUGUCAAGCCCAACGCUUUCGUGUGUGUGUGCAUAUCUAUAUAUAACUCCAUUUCCGGAGGCAGGGAUCACUCAACUUCCUCUCUCGCUCCUCUCUACAACAAUCUCGUGCUCUUUUCCGGCAAACUCCUCCUUCGUCUUUGUCCAUCUUUCUUGCUAUUUUAUAAGUUACCAAGUCAAAAACCCGACAAGCCUUUUUUCUUUGAAGACGAUGAGUUACGUUUCAAGCAACAGAAAGCCACUGUUGUCUCGGAAAGCAACCAACGACGGUCAUGCCGAGAACUGUCCCUAUUUCGAUGGGUGGAAGGCCUACGACAAGGACCCAUUUCAUCCUACGCAGAAUCCCAGUGGUGUCAUCCAAAUGGGUCUUGCAGAACAUCAGCUCUGUUUCGACUUGGUUCAAGAAUGGCUCGUCAGCAACCCAGAAGCCUCCAUCUGCACUAAGGAAGGAGUGGACAAAUUCAGGGACAUUGCCCUCUUUCAGGAUUAUCAUGGCUUGCCCGCGUUCAGAAACGCUGUGGCGAAGUUCAUGGGGAGAGUGAGGGGGGACAAGGUCAAGUUUGAUCCCGACCGGAUUGUCAUGAGCGGGGAGCCACAGGAGCUCACGAGAUGAUCACAUUCUGCCUGGCUGAUCCUGGCGAUGCGUUCUUGGUGCCAACCCCUUACUAUGCAGGAUUUGAUCGAGAUUUGUGUUGGAGGACCGAAGCACGACUUCUCCCCGUAGUCUGUCACAGCUCUAACAAUUUCAAGGUCACCAGGAAGGCUUUGGAAGAAGCAUACGCAAAAGCUGUUGAGGCCAACAUCAGCGUAAAAGGGUUGCUCUUAACCAAUCCAUCAAACCCACUAGGGACCAUCUUAGACCGAGACACGUUGAGAGAAGCCAUGAGCUUCAUCAACGAGAAGAACAUCCACCUCAUUUGCGAUGAGAUAUAUGCUGCUACAGUCUUUCGUCAGCCUGAUUUCAUAAGCAUCGCAGAGAUAAUCGAGGAAGAUCAAGAAUACAAUCGCAACCUCGUGCAUAUAAUUUAUAGCCUCUCAAAAGAUAUGGGUUUCCCUGGCUUCAGGGUUGGGAUUGUGUAUUCAUACAAUGAUGCCGUGGUGGAGUGCGGCCGGAAGAUGUCCAGCUUCGGUCUAGUAUCCUCCCAAACUCAGUACCUAAUUGCAUCCAUGUUAUCGGACGAUCAGUUCAUCGCGAAAUUCCUGUUGGAGAGUGCGGGGAGGUUAGCGACGAGGCAUAAUGAUUUCACUGACGGACUUCGUCAGGUAGGCAUCAAGUGCUUGAACGGCAAUGCGGGUCUCUUCUUAUGGAUGGAUUUGAGGGGGCUCCUGAUGGAGAGCACCGUAGAGGCAGAGACGGCUCUGUGGCGGGUUAUAAUUAACGAUGUCAAGCUCAAUGUCUCGCCGGGUUCUUCCUUUCACUGCUCAGAGCCAGGAUGGUUCAGAGUUUGCAUUGCCAACAUGAAUGACGAGACCACGAAGGUUGCUUUAGCACGAAUCCGAGAGUUUGUGCUGAGGAAUGGCAAUAAGCCGAACAGGAAGGAGAAGUGCUGGCAGAGCGACCUAAGGCUUAGACUCUCGUUCCGAAGAAUAGACGAUGUGUUGAGGUCGCCCUGCAUUAUGUCCCCUCACUCGCCCAUCCCUCAAUCACCACUGGUUCGAACCAGAACUUGAAGUUGACAAUCACGUGAUUCUACAAACAGGCAUUUUUCCCAUUAAAUUGAGAGCUUUCCAAAUGUCAAAUAGGGAAUUGGAUUCCUUAUUUGCUUAGUAGACAGGAUCAAAGAUUCUUUGGUAAGGAAAAAAAAACUAGAAAAGCUGAAAUAUAGGUCGGGACUAUACCUUGUAAGCGGGUGCAGAGCAGAAUGCAUCCUAAUUUUUCUGCACCCCAGUUUGUUCAUUCUUUCAUCAGGCACGGUAUUUUAAUUCUUUCCUUCUGUAUCAUCCCUAAGAUGGCCCUAAGUUGCUCAAUUGAGUAUAAGCAGGAACCCAUCAGGAUUGACAUUUUCAACAA